rnacentral:rRNA from 1 species
UACGUAGGUGGCAAGCGUUAUCCGGAAUUAUUGGGCGUAAAGCGCGUGUAGGCGGCUUUGCAAGUCGGAUGUGAAAUCCCACGGCUCAACCGUGGAAGUGCAUCCGAAACUGCAUCGCUGGAGUCUCGGAGAGGAAGGUGGAGUGCUUGGUGUAGAGGUGAAAUUCGUAGAUAUCAAGCAGAACACCUGCGGCGAAGGCGGCCUUCUGGACGAUGACUGACGCUGAGACGCGAAAGCGUGGGGAGCAAACAGG